ensembl:snoRNA
GUUGAGGUCUAUCCCAAUGGGGCUUUUUCUGAAGACCCACAUCAUUGGAAAACCUCAUAGACUAAAUAUGUGGUUCACUGUACCCACAGACGUAUGUGUUAGAUCUGUGGGGAAGAACCAUGAGGCAGAG